rfam:Picea glauca, whole genome shotgun sequence.
GGGUGUAAUCAUACCAGCGUUAAUGCACCGGAUGCCAUCAGAACUUUGCAGUUAAGCGUUCUUGGGCUAAAGUAGUACUAGGAUGGGCGACCUCCUGGGAAGUCCUAGUGUUGCACCCU